rnacentral:lncRNA from 1 species
AUCAGAUGCUGCCCUUGUGGCCAGUUGGGUUCCCACCCACCUGAUUCUGGAGCCCUGGACCAGAGCCCUACGUUCACCAUGGGAAGAGACCUUGUGAUAAGCCACUCCUGAAGGCAUGGCCUAACUCUGGACACAGGUGGACAGUGGGUCACCACCAGGCUUGGCCACCACCCAGAUCCCCUUGGACCAGGAGAUCAAGGCUUCGUGCUCCAUCAAGGACAUGAAACAAAACAAUGGGGAGGAAUAAAACAGGAGACCUAAAAAGGAGGCUGGCCUUUGCCCCACGGCCUUGGCUGCAGCACCAUCACAUGCCUCCACGCCUCUCCAUCUCCUCAUGAAGAUCUCUCUCCAGAUAGAGACCAUUUCCUCCCUAGAGGAAUCCUUGUACUAUCCGUAGGUGAGAACACUUCACCUCAUUACCUGGAUGUGGAGUGUUGAAGCUGGAAGGGAUCCCAGAGAUCGGAAACUCCCCAGGAGUUUGGAUGCUUCAUCUCUGCUGAGACCCAGUGCCUGGCACUGAAGGUGCUCAGGAAAUACCUUCUGAAUGAUCGGAAGCCCCUGCCAUCUGCUAAACUGGAUCUAUGAUGACAGAAGCCGAGGAAUGUGAGGUUCAUCUAGAGAGUUCUUGUGAAUUUUCCAAGGAGGCACCUGUUGAAUUCAGGCAUCGGCAUGUGACUUGAUUUGGUCAAUGAAAUGUGAGAGAAGUGACAUCCACUUUGAGGCAGGCACUUUCCGAUGCCAUCAAGCUGAGAUGUGAAGCGGAAGUGAGGCAGAGGCUCCCUUCCUUUUGUUUGGCGCAGUUUUCUGUGAGAGAGCAGAGGUGGGAGAUGAGGGGACCUCUGCCCCAGUGUUUCUGCAUCCAAGCUCCAGCCUUGUUGAAGUUGCCCCGACGGCCACUCUCCAUACUGCUGCCAGAAGAACCUUGAAAUAUCGCUCUUUUUAAUUAAAAAGCAAAACUCUUCAAUUGUUUUUGUUGCAUUUAAAGUUCAAACUUCUUACCACGGAGUGAAAGGCCCCACACAAUUGGCCCUGUCUUCUUCUCCAACUUCCAUUUUUCUUUGGUCCACCGUGUUCUAGCCGCAUGGGCCCUGUCUUGAUUCCUUGUACAUGUCAAGCUUACUCUUGCUCCAGAGCCUGUGUGGUAGUUGUUCCCUCUGCCUGGAAUGGCCUUCCCUAGAACCUGCCUUGGCUGGUUCUUCUUGCUAUUCAAACCUCAGCUCCCACAUCACCUCCUGUGUUAGGCCUCCCUGGACCACUCUAAUUAAAUUAGUACUGGAGACAUCAGUCCACCUGGCUUCAGGGGCCAGGCCUUCCUCUUGCAGCCUAGAGGCUCUUUGCAGACUGCUCAAAGCUCCCUUUGCACAACUCAACCUGGCAGUGGGGCCUUACUUUCUAUUUUUAUGAUCUCAGGGAUGUCUAGAGACCUCGUUGGCCUGGCUACAGUACAUCCUAACCGGGCAUUGAGUUGGAGGAACUCAGGAGCUUAUAAUCUGGCCUAGCUCCUCCAAGUUAGUCAGUUACCAAGUGGAGAAGAGAAGCCCUUUACCAUUGAAUUUUUAAUUGUACUGGAAACUGCCUAACCCUUUGGUAGAACAAUAAAGGGAAAUUUGGUGACUUGGUCUAGAGGCCUGGGGCAAGUAGCAACAGAGAUGAGGUUAGAAAGAUUUUUAACAUGUGGGCUUUCUUUUGUCAUUAAAAGAGAAAAACAAGCUCUUACAAUGUUUGAAGGAAACCGUCAUGCAAUUUCCAAGUAGUUAUUGGAUUCUGUCUGUGACCAAGACAUUGAAGGACUUGGGCUGAGCUUUGGGGCCACUGGAGUAUGAAGAGGCCCCUUUUGUCAUGGAGCUGACUUCUAGGAAGGGAGACAGGGCAGAGGCAAAGGGCGCAGGGACUACACCAUGGAGUGCCAUGCUGCAUCAGGCACUGUGUUUGGGUUUCCAUACACACAGAGCAAUUAACACACAGCAGGCUGUGUGUACCUGGACCCAAGGGGCUGGCCAGGCAGAGAGGUCUGGGACUGCCCAGGAAGGGGAGCAGGUGAUGUCUGAGGAGCAGAGGGGAUGAGAAAAGGCUUCCUGCAGGAGAUGGACUUGGAACUGGCUCCAGGUGCACCGUGGGCUCUGAACACACACUACUGAAAUAAUGGGCCAUGAAAUUCAUUCCUCCAGCACUAUUCUGCUUCUCUGUCACUUCUCCUUUCCCCAUCAUUUCCUUCCCCGGCUGGAGAGCACUCAGGAAUGCCUUGCUGUGCCCAGUCAGGCCUCUGGAGUCCACCCUACCUAGCUGAUGUAUUAUUAUCACCAGCAAACACACACCAGAGGCUGUAUCUUGGCUGGGAAGCACAUUAGCACCUUGGAAGCCCUUCUUGGAAAAAGUAAAAGAUUGGCAUUUGAGCCUCCUCAUUGAUUCCUUUGGAUGAGGCAGAAAACCGCUGCCCAGAAGGAUGAAGGGGUGAAGUGGAAAAACAUGGGCUGGCUUCAAAGUGGAGCACAGGAGGCUAGGAAUAGUUCUGCUUUGUGAACAAAGUCGUGCAAAAGGCAGAGAGAGAGAGAGAGAGAGACAAAGAUAGAGAGCGCAGGAGAGCGAGGAGGGAGGGAGUCAGCUUUGGCUAAUUUGAAUUUUGAAUUGCCUUGAAAAUCACCGUGCAGCAGUAUCCAAUUCUGCCUUUGAUGGUCGAAAGAAACCAGCUGCUUUUAUUCCUCUUCAGGUCUUGUUUUCCCCCCAGCAGUGAAGCAAAUUAAGCAAAGAAACAGUGAAAGUUGUAGUUGGUAUAAUAUCUCAGGCCAAGGUCAGGCUAAUUGUUGGUGGGAGGGGCGGUAGAGACAAGGGACACACUCUAGGUGUUGAUAUUUCUCACUCCUGCUCCAUUCUGCUCCCCAUAAUGUCACUUUGGCAUUUCCAAACACGACCACCUUGGCAGGCUUUCUUUACAAACUAAGGCCCUUGUUCUAACCACCAGCAUUCCUAUACUAUGCCAUGCAUUCGGGCAGGUAAGAUAUGGUCCCUUUGCCCAAGUCGGGCUAAAGGAGUGGCAAACCUUGAAACACACCCCAAGAUAUCCCAUAAUGCUGUUCUUAAUUUGCAACAUCAGCAGGGCAGGUAUUUGCUAGUGAGCGUAGCCUCAUUUUUUCCUGCUGCCUCAUUUUUAUCAACUCAGUUGUAAAAAUUAAUAUCAUGGAGGCUUCCUUGAAAGAUAUGAAAUGCGUACUUCUCCCUAGACAGUCUAAAAUGUACCUUUGUAUCAAAUUUAAGCAGCCAUCUGGGAAGCUUGCCUGUGCUGUUUUGGGCCCUGGUAGAGCUCUUUUGAAUGUGUGGCAUGCUGGCAGGAUGCCAGCUGCCUGAGAGGAGGAACCGGGAGUGCUUGACCCCGUGAUGGGUAGAAGAUGGAAAAAUUGUCAUUUCAAAACAGCAGGUGGUUCCUCUCUUGAUAGAGGUGGAGAUUUUCACCUUUUGGGCAAACAUUUCCUUUGUGUGGUUGAAAUUAUCAGAAUGGACCCUUGGGGACAACUGGGCAGUAGUCUGAAUGCUGAUGUUUUAGAUGGGAAUAUGGGGGAUUAAUUUGUUGCGUGUGGUUAUGCCAGAGCAAGGUCUCUCCUUUUUGUCUCCUUCUCUCCCUUCCUUCCUUGUUUUUGAUUGUGCUCUGCUCACCUCCUCCUGGUCCACACACCUUAGUAAGUGGUCAUUGAAUGCUGCUGUCCAGAAGGGGAUUCUCUCUCCUCGGCUGCUUCCUGAGUAAUAAUCAAGCCAAGAUGGAGUCUCUGCAAUUCCAAAUACAUCCUGCUCUACCUGGAUCACUGCCUUGAGCUGGGUGGAAAGUUCUGUCUAUGUCACCACCCUCUUCAAUAACCAGGUGAGGCAGACAUGAUUUCCAUUUGGAGGAUGGAGAACCGAGGCUCAGGACCUCGCCCGUGCAGCCAAGAGGAGACAAAGAUGGCUAGGUCUGGUUCCCAAGCCUAAAGACCAUGAUCUGUCCAGUGUGGAACACUGCAGGCCCCCAAGUUCUGUCAUUUGUAAAGUCAUGGGCUUGUGUGAGUCCCGAGCAAUCAAAGCAGCAGAAGCAAUGCUCCCAAGGGGUGCACGAGGGCCAUGUUUGGAGCCAUGCCAGCUUGCCAAUCCUUGGCAUACUCUGUACAUAGCCAGAUAACUACACAAGCUCACCUCAUCUGCACAAACUCACUCUCUGAACACUUCUAAGGUCACCGAGAAGUCAGGGAAAAAUGAGAACCAGGACAGUCAAAGCCUUUGCCUCUCCUGAAGCUAUGGGGCUUGUUGCCAGAGCCAAAGCCCCUCUUAGCACUCUUAUUACUUCAUUUAACAAACAUAAGGAGAGCCCGGCCCUCUGCUUUUAAGGGUGGAUUCCAUUACUAUUAAGACUUCUGCGGCCCCUGAAAGAUUAACUCAACAGUCACCCCUGUGAAAGCUGAUCCAAGUGGAAAAUCGAGUUAGAAAAUUCCACCUUCCCUUCCCUCACACCUCAGCAGAUUAAGGGGAAGGCCUGAUGCUGAGUUAUGGGGAUUUAUGGGAAUGUGCAGUUGCUGGCUUUUAAACGCUCACUCUUUGGAAUGUUGGCAACCUUGCUUCCUAUAAAUCGUUGCUGGUAUUUCUUAGCCUUUCCUUGCCAGCAACGCGGAGGCCUGCAACACCUUUUCCGUGCAGUAGCCUGUGAAAAUAUUGAAGUCAGGCCCAGAAAAACACCAGCAUUGAAAGGGGAAACUUUGAUGUUUGCUAGUUCUUUUCAGACAACUCUUGCCAAAUCUUAAUUUUUCCAGUUUACAAGUAAGGGAUUCUGACCAUCUGUCUGCUGUCAACCGAUGUUUGUUUGGAUGAAGAUUUUAUUUUUUUCUCCCAAUCUAGCACUCCUGUUCUUACAAGUAGUUUAUUGGACUUCAUAAAUGUCAGCUUUUUGCAGGCAUUUUGUAAGCAGCUUAUGAUUUAGUAUUUAAUCAAAAUUGAGCAGUCAGCGUCUGUAAUCAAUCUGAAGCAGGAGUAACAAUGAGAUUGAAGCUUAAAAUGCACCAGGACCACAAUUUAUGUCUCCCAACUAUCGUUGACUGUUUCUGUAAUAGCAUACCUUGAGAUCUACUCAGAAAUGGCAGACUGGGAGAGAUGGCACUCCCACUUAUUCCACGUGCUCUCCUACACUUCCCAGCCUCCUAGGUGAGGGCUGUGUGGCUUGUUCUGACCAACGCAGGCACACCUUGGGGAUAUGCAGGUUCCAUUCCAGACCACCCCCAACAAAGAGAAAACAAAACCACAGCAGCUUUCAUUGCUGAAAAAGACAAAACUGACUCGUUUGCUUAAUAAGCCCAGACGGAGGAACUUUAUUUCUGGGAGGAAGUGCUGAAGACUCCGGUACAGGCCGGGUGCGGUGGCUCACGCCUGUAAUCCUAGCGCUUUGAGAGGCCAAGGCGGAUGGAUCACGAGGUCAGGAGAUCGAGACCAUCCUGGCUAACACAGUGAAACCCCGUCUCUACUAAAAAUACAAAAACAUUAGCCAGGCAUGGUGGCGGGCGUCUGUAGUCCCAGCUACUCGGGAGGCUGAGGCAGGAGAAUGGCGUGAACCCGGGAGGCGGAGCUUGCAGUGAGCCGAGAUCGGGCCACUGCACUCCAGCCUGGGCGACAGAGCGAGACUCGGUCCCAAAAAAAAAAAAAGACUUCAGUACAAGGAGUCGUGGUUGCGCCGUGAAAUUGCCAGACUCUGCGAUGAGACAUCCUGGGUUGACAGUUUAGAGGUUGAGAGAUUGGUGGGAGGAGGCCACGAGUCCAGGGCUCAGUAGGACUACGGGGCAGAAGCCUGUGCUGCAGAUAGGUGGGACUUUGCAAAAUGGAUCUGCUUGGGGAAACUGAGGCCUCCUCCCACCUCCGACAACAUCCAGACCUCUUUUGCCACUUCUGGUUUCCAAAAAUCCAUUUAUGUAUUUAUUUUCCCUUUUUCUUAUUUUCCCUUAUUAAAUUCAUCUAUUGAUUAAUUCCCAUUUCAUACUUUCUUUUUUUUGAUGAAAUGGAGACUCCUGGAGACAAAGCAGAAAGGAUGCUUGGGGCGGAUUGCCUAGGAUUAUAUUCCAUCUCCAGCACUUACCAGCUGUGUGAUCUUGGGCAAGUGGUUUACCUUCUCUGUGCUUCAAGUUGCUGAGAAAGGUGGGGAGAAAAAUAAGAGCUGGAAAACACAUGGCCCUAAACAGCACUGGCGACUGCCCCUGGCUGCCUCUCUGAAUUCAUGUCACAUCACAACAGCUUGCCUGGCACUUGUUUCCUCAGUUGCUGUUUCCUGGAGCUCCUUCCAUCAGGGUGGGUCUUUCUGACCUGCAAGUCCCCUCCAUACCUCAUAAGCCUUGGGCAGAUGCUCAGUGAGUAUCCACAGUAUGGACGAAAAAUGAUUCAACAGCUUCCUGCACCCAAACCAGGUCAGACCAUCGGGGCUUGAGGAGUAUUACAGAGUGGCAGGAGUAAUAAUAGCUAACAUUCUCCAGGCACCCCCAGUGUGUCCAGCCACUAUACUGAACACUUCACAUAGGUGCUCUCAUUCACUCCUCCAAACGACCCUGAGAGAUAGGAUUGAGGUUUCUGUUUCACAAGUUCAGAGAAGUCAGAUAAUUUGGCCAGGGUCACACAGCUGGUAAAUGCUGAAGUCCAGACACAACCCAGCUCUGUUUGACUCUAGAGCCCAGAGUUAAACAUGUGAUCAUGGGAAAAAUGGCAAGUGUGCAGUUGAGAAGGCUCUGGACACUGCCUCAACUCAAAGUUACUCAAGCUUAACAUCCCCUGCAAGGGGUGAAUGGAUGGGCCCCCAGUAGACUGCCCUGAGAAGGACUUGGCACCCUGUCUGUGAUUUUCCUGCCCAAAGUGCAUGACUUGAAUUUAAUCAUGAAGAAACAGCAUCAGACAUGGCCCAAGUGAGGGACACUCUACAAAACAGCUGGUCUGCAGUCUUCACAAAUGUCAAGGUCAUGAAAGACAAAGAAAGAUGCAGGAACUCUUCCAGAGUAAAGAGACAUGGUGACCAGAUGCCAGGCCUGGUCCUGGAAGGGAUGGUGGACCAGAAAGGACUCGAGAGGGACAAUUGACAAAACGUGAAGGUCACCUGUACACUAGCUCAUGUCUUUGUUAAGUCUCCUGAGUUUGUGGAUGUGGUUGUAUGAGAAAAUAUCCUUGUUUUUAGGAAAUACAUGCUGAAGCCAUUCAGGUUAAAGGGAAUAAUCAUGAUAACAGCAAUCAUGAUGGGUAUAAAUAGAUAGAGAUAAGGCAAAAGUGGCAAAAUGUUAAAUUGGUGAAUCUAGUUUUCCAGGAGGAUUUGCUUGUGCUUAUCUGCAUAGUGAGCCUCAAGAUUCUAUGGGAAUGAACUUAAAAAUCUUCUGGCAAGGCUGGGAGCCCCUGGAGAACCAGACCAUGAAGAAGGAAGCCCCUCCAUCUUCUAAAGAAGGUUGAGAGGUCCCCAGUUUACAGUGAUACA